UGGGGAAUAUUGCACAAUGGAGGGAACUCUGACGGAGCAACGCCGCGUGAGUGAAGACGGCCUUCGGGUUGUAAAGCUCUGUGAUCCGGGACGAAAGAGCCUGAGGUGAAUAGCCUAAGGAAGUGACGGUACCGGAAAAGCAAGCCACGGCUAACUACGUGCCAGCAGCCGCGGUAAUACGUAGGUGGCAAGCGUUGUCCGGAAUUAUUGGGCGUAAAGCGCGCGCAGGCGGCUUCCUAAGUCCAUCUUAAAAGUGCGGGGCUUAACCCCGUGAUGGGAUGGAAACUGGGAAGCUGGAGUAUCGGAGAGGAAAGUGGAAUUCCUAGUGUAGCGGUGAAAUGCGUAGAGAUUAGGAAGAACACCGGUGGCGAAGGCGACUUUCUGGACGAAAACUGACGCUGAGGCGCGAAAGCGUGGGGAGCAAACAGG
rnacentral:rRNA from 1 species